rnacentral:miRNA from 1 species
AAAGAUAGACAAUUGGCUAAAU